rnacentral:rRNA from 1 species
GACGAACGCUGGCGGCGUGCUUAACACAUGCAAGUCGAACGGAAAGGCCUGCUUUCCCUUGUGGAUUGCGGGUACUCGAGUGGCGAACGGGUGAGUAACACGUGAGUGAUCUGCCCCCAACUUGGGUAUAAGCCUGGGAAACUGGGUCUAAUUCCCGAUAGGACUGCAGGGUGGUGCCUGUGGUGGAAAACGAUUUUCUAGUGGGUGGGGAUGAGCUCGCGGCCUAUCAGCUUGUUGGUGGGGUAAUGGCCUACCAAGGCGGCGACGGGUAGCCGGCCUGAGAGGGUGGACGGCCACAUUGGGACUGAGAUACGGCCCAGACUCCUACGGGAGGCAGCAGUGGGGAAUAUUGCACAAGGGGCGGAAGCCUGAUGCAGCGACGCCGCGUGGGGGAUGACGGCCUUCGGGUUGUAAACUCCUUUCGACCGCGAGGAAGCCACCUGGUUGGAAGGGUGGUGACGGUAGUGGUAGAAGAAGCACCGGCUAACUACGUG